CGCUGGUCUCCUGUGGGGCAGUGUGGGCUGCGUGUGCACAGACAGCCUGGUCUCCAGUCUCUUCACUCUCCCAUUGAAUUCUGACUCAGUACCAAGGACUCUCAAAAGUAAAUAGUAUCAUGGAACUGAGGAAAGACCAGAGUUCAGAAAAACCACCAAACUGGAGGAACCUGAAAACUCUGGACCCACUACAUCUACUGAAAAAGCCUAAGUAUGAGCAUGGGGGCAGCCAAGAUGAGCCUAACAAGAGACAAAGUUGGGAUCUGGUGAUGUGCUGAGGCCCCUGCAUCCGGCCAUUCCUGAAGCCACCUGGGAUUUUUAGGUUCACAAACUAACGCCUUUUCUUUCUGUGUAAGUCCACGGGAACUGGCAUCUGCAAGAAAAACAAAUACAAGAAUAUUUUCAAAG